UGUCGUGUGCGUUUUGCGAGCAGGGCUGAGGCGUCGCGGAGGCGGGAGAACUCAGGGAGCAGCGUGUGGCCGUGCCGGCCGCGGGGCCGCUGGGCCGUGCCUUCGGUUUGGGUAGCAGCGCUGGCGGUGCGUGGCUGCGGAGGGCGAUGUGUGUCCGGCAGGAGGAGCUUUGCUCGCUGCUCAACGCGCUGUCCUGUAUUUAUCUACAGAGCCACGCACAGGGGGAGGGUAUGGUGGGGUAACCUUCAAGGCCAGGUUGGAUGGGGCCCUGGGCAGCCUGGUCUAGUACCAGAUGUGGAGGUUGGUCGCCCUGCCUGUGGCAGGGGGUUGGAACUUGAUGAUCCUGGGGGUCCAUUCCAACCCAAGCCAUUCUGUUGGGUUCAUUCCUCUCAGCUAGGCUGGAGUUGGCUGAGCUGACUUGUUUCCCUGCCUUCUAAGCAGUGCUUGCUGCGUCACACUGGCUAAUCUUUAUCAACGCUUCCACUUUGUGUGCUGUCUCAGCUGCAGCAACGCCCUCUUCCUGGCUGCUGCUUUGGGGAAAUGGCGUGUAGAGUUCCGUGCACUGAGCAUCAUUGCUGUUUCUGUAGUGCUUUGUGUCAUGGACGGGGGAAAUGAUCCAUUUCUCAAAGAGAAGGUGAAUUUCUGUUAAGGGAAAGGGUGGUUAUUGCUGAAAUAAUCCUUACUCCAAAGUGGGAGGAAACACAAUGUGUUGUAUGGUGUGUUAAAUAACUUUGUUUCUCCUUACAGCUGAUUCCUGUGAAAUAAAGUCUUUUAUUCUUUCAAGAAGAUACUCCACUGAGAGGAGUUGGAGAGUUCUGUAGGCUCCCUGGAAGCGUGGGCCAAAGUCCAGUAGUGGUAUAGGUCAGGAAAAAGGAUUUACAAGUUUUUCUUUUCUAAAGUAUUUUGGCUCCUCCUGGAGGUAAGUGCAGUGAAUUUCUCAGGAUAACACCUCACAGUAACUACACAGGCAUGGUGGUCUGUUUUCGCCAUGGUGCAAUCAGAUGGUGAAGGACUGUCACGAGAUGUUAAGUAAUUCACAUCACAAAACCUAAACCUUGGCAUCUUGAAAUAUUUGUUGGUAUUGUAGCAAUAUUUGCCAUUCUUCUAUCUCUUUAAAUCCACAUCGCUCUUGUCAAAGGAUCUGAGCCAGCUUUUUGCCUUCUGCAUCUUCCCACAAAAGGCCUGGUGUCUUAGGGCAGCACAUGCAACUCAUGUAGCUUCUGCACACCCCACCUUAUCCAGUGCUUCAUUCAUCACAGAAGAAAAAAAUAUAAUGCUCUGUUGCUGCUAUAACCUCCGGUUUAGUUUGUACAUCUGAAGAGUUUUGAUUGAAAAGCACUGCUCUCUUUGUUUUAUUUCUCCAUGUGAAUGCUUUCACUUUGUUGAAGGGGAAAAAGAAAAACAGUAUUAUAUGUCAGAACAGUUGCUGUCCUUAAACUUUAAGGCUAAGCUUAUGCUUAUGUUUGUGCAGCUGAUACCGAGUAAUGAUGGUAAGUAGUAUGAUAGGGUGUGUGUUUUCUACAAAGGGCAGAAAACAUGGAUAUAAAAUUGUCCAGGAUAAAUCUGCUGACAUAGCAACUACAUACUUUGCUUUUGUGUGUUCGGUAUCACUGAUACCACUUGCAGUGAUUCCUUCUCUUCCUUCCCCCACCUUGUUUCCAUGCUGCUGCUCUGGGUAGGAGGCAAGGAUCCUGCUUUGCAGAUGAAAUUACUUCCCUGUUUUACUGUGUUUCUUUAUCCGAUAAUGUAGAUGCUGCUGAUGUCUCAGUGAAGAGAGAACUGAGGUGAAAAAGUAAUGAAAGGAAUGCUUGAUGUGCCAGACAAGUAAAAUAGUUUCCUACGUUGUAUAGUUCACUUUCAGGAGUUUGGGGGUACCCGCUAUUUGUCAGGCUAGAUUUUACACAGCUUAGAAGCUUGGAAUGUUAAAUCCUGUGUUAUCUCAAACGUAGGUCAUCAUUUUACACUGUUCAUCUGGAAAUGCUCGCACCCACUUACCUUCUGACCCAGCAGGUCUUAACUGUGAGAUCCACAAGAAGCUUAUAGCCAUAUUGCAGAAAUAAGCACUGUCUCAGUGUCCCAUGUGAAAAGACUUAAAGUGACUAAAGAACUGAAGGCCUGCCUUUACUGUGUUUUGAGUACGUGGAUAUACUCUGAUUUAAUGCAUUUUAUGAAAGCUGCUUCAGGUGUUUGUAUGGUCCCGAGCCUGCUAAGCUGUCACAUAUGUCUGCCCUUUGCUGUGCCAGCAUCCUACACUGCAGAAACCACAAGUUUUGUUGCAAAAACGAAUUUGGUCUCAGUGCAAUCAGGUAAGCAACCACUCUGUGCCCUGAGAGUAAGGAGAAGCAGCUGGAAGUCGUGGAAGACGGUGCAGAGAACAAGGAUAAGUAGCAAUGUGUGAUGCGUUUGCCUUCUGCAAAGAAGCAGUUAGUACAUUUUUGUAUGCUUUUCUUGCUUUCAUCGUGGUAAAUUCUUGCUCCUAAUUAAAACCAGAAAGAUUUUGUUGUAAAUUCAGCCUUCACUGGAUAACGUACUGGAAACAUGCCUGCAAUCUGCACGAGAAAUGCGUGCAUGUACAAGAUUGGUGUGUACAACAUACGCAAGAGUGUAAAAGCAUUCCAGGGUAAGUUUUAAGGUGUUUUGGUUUUGUGGAGACACCAUCCACAUCAGCACAGCUCAGAGAGCUGUUAAGAUGUUGGCCUUCUCUCAGGUUGUGUGUACUCACUGUUGGCCCUAUGUAAUUGCCAGCACACAAGUCAGCUGGGUGGGAAGGUUUUCAUAAUGGCUUGUGAAGGUGACACAUGCAAUUUGUAUUUCUCUUGGCACGUAAAUAAGUUUUAAAAUUGCACUUUCUUUGUUGUCUGCAGUCCCUUUGGAUGAAGGGGGAGAGCUGUAGAGUCACAGAGGCACUGCUGCUUGUAGAGCCUGUGAAAAAAAGCAGGUAAAGACGCAUUAAAGUGAGUGCUCUGAUCCUGAGCUUGGAGGAGCUGCCGUGGUGGUUUCCUUCUGUCAUCUACAGAAAUGCUUUGUGCAGUGGUAACAGCUUCAAGCACAAGAAGAGCCUCUUCAGGUGUUGUGGACGUGUAACUGCUACCGAACUGCAGAACAUAAUAUGAGAUGGGGGGUGGACAGGCUACUCCAAGUCAUGGCCUCACAGAAACAGUUUCAGUAGAGAGGAAACCUCACAUUCUCUUGGAACUUCCAUGAAUUUAAGUGAGGACCCAUUGGCAGUGGUGAAACAGGAAGUUACUUCUAUUUUUGACACUGGUCAUGGGGAUGAGGGUAGUGAACUUCAUACUUGUUAAUCAGCACACAGUGAUGGGCCUUGGCAGAAGUGCAGGCUGAGCCCAGGAGAUUACAGUCGUGGGGAAACUCAGUUUCCCAACCAACAGUGGCUGAAACUUCCUGAGUAGAGGGAAUGGAUGAGCAUCUGCUGCUCAGCUGAAUAGGGAUAGUUCUCUUGAGGCCACAGAUAGAGUCACACAGUCCAGAACUACCCUCAGAGCUUUAGUCUUGGCCCACCCAGCUCCUGCAGAGCUAUGGGGACUGGAGCACCGUGCUGAAGAUAACCCUCAGCACACCUUGCUGGGGUCCGGGCCUGGAUGGAAGCCCUCUGGUUGGCUGUGUCCCAGCUUUCACAUACCCAACAAGAACCUCAGCACUUCUGAGUAGAGCAAGUUAACACUUGGGAUGCACCGAUAUAGCUGUAGUUUGUGCGUGCUGUACUCAUUAGCAUGACUUGAUGAGAGCUUGUGUUGUACAAAGCAAGUUGGGUUUUGAGGUUUGCUCACUGCACACCCCACUCUAUUGCCAGUAGACAUGGGGAGAAGCUCUAACCCUGGGUUUGUACCACAUCUCACUGGGGAGCCUGUGUGUGCCUGUGCCACAAACAGUCCGUGAGCUGACAAAUCCUUAAGCAUGGUGGCAGUUCUCAUGCUUGUGAAAAACGAGGGGUAAGGGGGAUAGGUAGGGGUUCUUCCUUUCAUGAAUGACAAACUACUGAAAUCCAAAGCUCACUGAAAAUAACCUUCUAAAAAUGAAAUUGGAAGGUGUGAUUAAGGCGGUAUGAUCCUUCAGUUACAGCAAACUUCCAAUGCUGUUCUUUGUCUCUUGUGUGGUUCACAGAAAAAGUGGAUGUGUAACAUAGGUAAGACUUGCUGGAAUUUGCGUGGAAUCAUGCAUUGCUGCAAGGAAAUCCUGCAAGGAAACUGCUAAUGCUGGAGUCCCUGGUUAUGUGUAACAGUAUACUCACUUUCUCUGGCUAUUCAGAUGCAGUGGCAUGAAGUUACGCAUUGGUUUUGGUGCCAUUCAUCUGAAAAUCCAAACGUUUGCAGUGUGAGUGCGUUAACAGCAAUGCAGUCAAAGCAUUCCUUAACGCACACAAGCCAUUCCCUUUUGGGUGAGUAACAGUGCAAUGUGAAGAAGCACCCAGCUGCCAGGAGGUGUCACUUGGUAGCAACUCCUGUGCUGGAAUCCCCUGAGUUUGCUGCUCCUCCCUUUGACGGAGGUUUCAUAUCAUAAAUCAUAGAAUGGCCUGGGUUGGAAGGGACCUCAAGGAUCGCAAAGCACCGAACCCCCACAUGGCAUGCAGGGCUACCGACCUUCACAUUUAGUACCAGGCCAGGCUGCCCAGGGCCCCAUCCAACCUGGCCUUGAACACCUCCAGGGACGGGGCAUCCACAGCCUCUCUGGGCAGUCUGUUCCAGCACCUCACCACUCAUAGUAAACAACUUCCCCAGUAUCCAACCUAAAUCUUCCCUCCUUCAACUUAAAACUAUUUCCCCUUGUCCUGCUGUUAUCUACCUUUUCAAAGAGUUCACUCCCCUCCUGUUUAUAGGCUCCCUUUAGGUACUGGAAGGCUGCAAUGAGGUCACUCUGCAGCCUUCUCUUCUCCAGGCUGAACAAGCCCAGCUCCCUCAGCCUGUCUUCAUAGGGAAGGUGCCCCAGCCUUCUCAUCAUCUUUGUGGCCCUCCUCUGGACCCGUUCCCACAGCUCCCUGUUGGGUUUUCCCAAAUUACUGCAGUAUGUCAUCAUUCAUUGGCUCUUUCCCACCUCAUCACGUACCCAACUAUUUUGUGUUUGGUUUUGCAAUUUCUCUGCAAAUACCUCUUCCUGGAAAACAGAAUAACAGUAAGUAGCUCAAGCUGCUGGCCAAGCUUCCAUUCCUGUGGUUUCACUUGCUCUGUUCUGUCAAGUUAUUUACAUGCAGCGUCCUAAGGAUAUAAUUGAGUGGAGUGCUAGUAAGCACUAACCUUUGUGUCUGCCCUCAGUCCACGUAGGUCAGGCUUACCCAAGCUGUUUCCUACAGUGAAUUCACUGCCUACUCCUGCAGCCCUUGGUUGCACUAUUUCAUGAAAGCAGCAUGAUCUGCUCUUGCAGGAACUACAAAAAGGGCAGAUUAGCAUCAGUCUCUUUACCUGCUGUGUUGCACAACCCAGAUCUGUUCUGAACCUUGCUCUUGCAUACACGAGCCCUAGGGUGCGCAAGUGAAAGGCAUUAUCACAUCUUAACAGCUCUGGUGUGCUUCAGUAUAGGAGAAAGAUUUCAAAGGUAGGCCAGGUGUUUGAGAUUGACUAUUUACAUUACUUUGCUCAAAACAGAGCUGCCAGCUUAUUCCCUGUUCUGAAUUCAUCUGUACCAGAGCUGUCUUGUACUCAGAGCCUUUUGGGGCAUGCAUUCCCCAGGCUUUGAAUUCCGAGAAUGCAGCUGUGUGAUUCAGACUGGAUGGCACGGCUCAUUUAAGGAGCUCGGUGUUAUCUUUUGUCCUUUGCUCUCCUGUGCCACACCGCACUGUGCCUGGCAUGCCAACAGGUCUGUCUGUAGCAGCAGGGUGAUUAGCAGGCUGUUACAUGUCCAGCCCCAUGCCUGCUUUUCUUUAGCCGAAGUUGGAAGUGUAGGAAGUUUGUGCAACUUCUCUAAAAGCCUGGAGGGGAUCAAUGAGGUACUUGAGAGCGUUUGCAACAUGGCAGCAAAAGCUGGUGAUCAGGCACGCAGCAAAACUCAGUCCUUGGGUUGCUGCAGCCUUCAUCUCAUUAAACCAUGCACCUAAUGAUGGGGUUUGGUUUGUAGGGGAGGAGCAGCAACACGUCCCUUGUGUAUGUGAUGGUUAAUGGUGUUUUUUCCUGCUUUAGGUCUUUGAUGCGUGACUGCUGGGUGUUUCGCUGUGUGCUGCCUCCUGAGCAGGCUUGAGGAACCCUGAUGUCUGUGAGCAGCAUUGGUGAUGCUAGGUGUAGUCAAGCAAAUGAUGAGAGAGCUAGACUAAGAUGUGGUGUAGGUUUCCCAUAGUUUUGUCUUUUAUAACUGUUACAGAGGGUACACAUUUAUUGUAUGACACAAUUUCUUACAAUUAAGGAUUUACAUGUUACACCUGCACACCUAGCCAAAUACACCCUUUCUAUUUAAUGGCAAGGUAGAUUUGCACGGAGAGAAAUGGGUAGUCAGCCAUUUCAUGUAUAGGAUGGGUGUUUUCCAUGUCAGUGUUUUUGCACUGCCCCCUGAUAAGAGUACACAGUGGAAUUCCUUACCAUGCAAAUGUGUUCUACUGUCUCCACUCUGGUGACGGUGAAUCGUGUCCUCUGUGAGCCUUUGCUUUCACUGUAGCCAUUUCUGCUGAAAUAAUCCCCAGAGGGAUUAUUGCUGUUAUUAGGCUUUCUGGAUAAAUGAGAGGCAGAUGCGGUCCUUGUGUGAAUUGGCAGGAGGGUGUUGCACAGCCAGGUGGGUGCUGCAUCUCACCUGGGAUGUAGAACAGUGUGUUGUUAAUGAGUUUCUCCCAGUGAAGUCCAUUAACCCUCCUGCAGACCCCUGCCAGCUGAAAGCUCCAUUCAAAUCCUGGGUAGUGGGGUGACCACUGGCCCAAUCCUCCCCGCUAUAUGUAUUUAUAAUAUAUUGCCUGUAUUUCUUGAUACAAUUUUUAUAUAAAUCAAUAAGUCAAGGGAGUCAAGGAAAAAUAGGGAAGUAUGAUGUGCUGCUGAGAGAAUCCUGGAAUAGAGUGGCAGUUCCCUGUUGAGAACAGCUCAGAGGUGUCCUGGACAAUACAGUUUGUGUGCAUGUUUCUGCUUUGUUCAAGUUUUUAAUCCCAUCCGUCUUUCCGACUCUCAUCCCUGAGAAGGUCCUUUGGCUGUGGAUUAACCUUGUCAGGAGAACCAAGGCAUGUGACAUGCUUGGCGACAGGGGCAGGUACGUGUGGGGCUCUCCCAAGUUGCUGUCAGCACCUCAGCUUUGCAGAUCUCCAGAAUGGAUGAUGUUGCUGCCACUCAUUCUGAGUGGUUGCUGCCUCAUUUAUGUGAGUUUGAUGGUACGUCAAAUAUCCAAACCUCUUGCUACAAUUCAUUAUCUGAAGGUAAAUUUAGGCACAAGUCAACAGCCAAGAUCCUUGGCUUUGAAUACGCUUGCCUUCCUGUAACACUCAUUCAUUCAAUUUGUUCCUUUGUUCCCAUCCACCACUCAUGAAGGGCUUUUGGAGUUGUCACUGUUUCAUUCUAGAUAACACCCCAGUUGUCCGUGCUUGUUCUUUUCUGUAGUAAUUCCUGUUGGCUGCACAGCACUUCACAGUCAGUAUUCACUGUGCAUGAGAGCCCUCACACAGUCCCACAUUUGGAGCUGGUGGCUGCACUCCUCCAGCUGUUGCAUCUCAUCAUCCUAGGAAAGAAAAGAAGGAAGGUUGGAUGUGUUGUGAUCAAAUGCUCUUCCUUUGCCCUAACCUGGAAAUCUUGCAGGAGGGUUCUGAAAUCUUUUACCAAGUAGGAAGGCUCUGAGCUUGAAACACAAAUGUGGCACCACUCUUUUUCAGACGCUCCUUCAGAGAGGUGUUGAGGGGAACAGAGUUUGAUCCUUUCUUUUUAGCUGGUGUUUCAGUUAAUAACCUGAAGAAAAACCUUCCGUUUCAUACCAUCAUUUUAAUGCAAAGGCCAAUAAGUGACAUUUCUUAGGCAUUUGUUUCAUGCUUUAUGUUACAGCUGCAUGUAUUCACGCAUUUACUCAAACAUUCAUAUAGAAUCAUCUAAUCCUUAGAGUUGGAAGGGCCCUUUGAAGGCCAUCUGGUCCAACUCCCUGCAAUGAACAGGGACACCACAGCUCAGUCAGGUUGCCCAGGGCCUGAUCCAGCCUCACCUUGAAAGUCUCCAGGGACGGGGCAUCAACCACAUCACAAGGCAACCUGUUCCAGUGCCUCACCACCCUCGCUGUAAAAGACUUUUUCCUUAUAUCCAGCCUGAAUCUCCCCUCUUCAAGCUUGAAACCGUUUCCCUUUGUUCUAUCACAACAGACCCCGCUAAAAAGGUCUCUUUCUUCUUCCCUUCUUUCCUUUUGUUCACUUAUCUAAUGUUAAAAUUGGGCCAUAGGACACAAAAGUUGUUGAGCUCAAGCUUCAGAGGACCUGGUUCCUGCAGUGGUACCUUCAGGGGGUAAAUCACUUAUGCCUCAGGACCGUGCUGUGUGCUGGAUGGCUUCUCUAAGUAGCUCCUUCCAGUUCCUCAACUGAUGACACCUGGGGUUGAAUAGUAGACCUCUAUAGUCAUGUGCCUUAAGGACCUCACAGACACAAGUGCCAUGCUGAAGGUAUCAAGUGAAGGCACAACUCAAGUGUCGCUGGAAACAAAGCAGUCACCCCUGAUGUGCAAUGGUGCAAAGACUUUGCAGCUAACACAGCCCUUCUUUACAGUGUUCUUAAGACUAUUAUCCCUUGGAAAGCUAUUUAAUAACAUUUUUUUGUAAAGAGGAGUUCCAAAUACCUCAGUGCUUUACAUCUAUAGUAGUUCUUCUCCCCCAUCACAGACCUUCGUGGGGAUGACUGUAUGUAUAGCACUGGCAGUCCCAGCAAUGUUUGGCUGUGGCUGCAAUGGGAACAGCGUGGCUCCCCAACUGCAGAGCCGCAGUACACAUAAUGCUAACAGGAGAGGGAGGGGCUCAGCCCUUCCCAAGGUUCCCCCUGCUCAGGUCACACCUCUGAAGCCUUCAGUGUAUGCAGGUACUGCACAGUGCUGCAGAGUGUGUGUCAGAUGUGCGGGUCCCUGCUUGCUUUGACAUGAGAGAAGCUACUUCAGUUGCUGCUUCCGUUCAGGACCAAAAUGCACAAAAGAAAUAGCAGAAUAAAAUGGCAGCACUCUGGCAUUGAUUAGGGACCACAACUAAGACACUGUUGUUAGAUUUGUGCAUGAAAUUAGUGGGGCAUCACCAGAUUUGAGGCGUGUAACGCAUGCCCGGUCCAUAGCUUUGCUUGCAGCCUGCAAAGAGGAUCGUGGACAUCCCAGCACCUCUUAUCCUGAUUUGAGAAUCUAGGUUUGUAGAACACAGGAUAGCCAAAGCCUGAUCCCAAAUGUUAUUUGUGUACGUAUAAUUAUUCUCAGGUGGAAUCCACCUAUUUCUGACAGCUAACGACUAGACAGUUAAUUAUGUGACAACUGUAAUGCCUCAAUUCUCAUGCUGCGUUACAGGGAAACUAAUUUCUCUCUUGAGAUGUCUGAUCCUCUCAGCUGACUACAGAGGGAGCAGAAGUUAGGACAGCUCAAAGGUACCCACACAUCUACCUUAAGUAAGCCUCACCCAGCAUGUCUGCUGGCUGAUGUUACUAACAUUGGGUAAUGCCUGCCUCAUCUCUGAAGGUCUGUAGGUGUUUAUCAUAUUGUGUGGGAUCUCAUUUCAUAGCUGAUGACAUAAACCGCGACAGUUACUUAUGUAAUUAGCAGAUAGUCAUUAGCUUUUGUAAAAUCAGUAGAAUUCCACAUGGGAGCAAUUGCACAAGUGUUAGUAGUUCAGGCUGUUGUUGACUGGAGAGCUGUUAGGAAGUACCUAAUGAACAGCAAUAGUUCAUGGUGAUGGAAAACUUACCAUGUUCUAAUACAGAGUGUUUCAUAUUCUGUAUUGGAUGCUCUAUUGGGAACUCUCCUACUGUAAUGCCUUUUUAAAAGAUAUAGGGGGAAAAAAAAGCACAUUUGAACAAAAACUCAAAAAUUUCUAUCCUUGGUUUCAGUUCAGGAGGUGCGUUUUCAAAACUGAAUUCCUGUCUAAAGUGCUCUAAGUCGCAAAAAAAAUACCAGCAGUCUUCAUUUUGAAUGGUUCCAGAUGUACAACACAGAUGAGGCCAUAGGAUCUGCUACGGUAGAUAACACCCUUAUCAGUUUGCAGAAAUAGAGCAAACGAGAGACCAACUCCAGCAGAAGACUGAAGAUUUGCAAAGCAUCUUCCACAGUGCCUACGAACAGCAGAUUAUUUCUGGCUCUCCAUUCCACAAAACGCAGGUAGCAGCAAACACACACAAGCAGGAUCUGUGUCCUUGCCUUCUGCAGGCCUGAAGCCUUUUGAACCAGCUCCAACACUGUCCAAAGUGCAAGAAGGGUGGUUGAUUUAAUUGAAGGCAGAUAAAUGCUAUGGGAAUGAUUAAAAGGAUUCAAGGAACAGAGUCAGAAAGAUAAAACGAGCUUAUUGCAGGCAGGGAUAUAUUCAUGGCAUCAGUAUAUGCUGUGGCUCUUCCAGUACACUUUCCAGUCUACACAAGGCCGUGCAGAGCUACCUGCAGGAUUUUAAGUGUGCCCAUUGCUUGAGCUCUGUUUGAGGUUAACAAUAUGGAAAACCUGGUGUGUGAUUCCUUGCUGCAAGGACCUGCUGGUGUACAUGUGGGCUUUCAGGUUAUGGAAAUGACCCAUUAUUUAUAAAAUAGCUUCUUCCUGUUUGCAGUGAUGCAGUGAAAUACUGAGUCAUCUCUAAACCUUUAGCCUUCCCUGAACAGCCUUUCUCAUUUGCGGCAUCUUACAUUUGGGUUGAUAGCAGUAGAGAGGAGAUUUUACUUGAACAUAUCACUUAUGGAUGAAUUGCUGCACCUGUAAAGAAAGCAUGUCCUGGAACUGCACUUCAGAUCUGUAGUUAUCAAGACUGACUUCAUUCCAUACACAAACUCCUCUGGUUUUAUAGGACUUACAGUGGUAUGUUGGUAUGCCCUAACUGUGCUUUAAGUGCAUCAUGGCAGUAACCACUCCUGUCCUCAGUUUUUCCAACAUGGAAAAAUGGGCAGCUUCCCACUUCUCAUAUUGACUUGAAGUGGUUUCUUGCCCAAUAACAAGAUUGCUUUGUGUUGCAUGCCAAGAUACCCAAUUCUCUUCCCACAGAGCAAAGCGCCUGGGGCCUAAGAAGUUCUGGCUUCAGCUGGGAGCUGUACUUUAUUUCUCUGUCUUUUUCAACCUUUUUCAAUCUCUGCGGAACGCUGUAGAACAGAAUCAUAGAAUCACCAAGGUUGAAAGAGGCCUACAAGGUCAUCCAGUCCAACCAUCUACCUAUCACCAGUACUUCUCACUUAGCCACGUUCCUCAGUCUGACCCUUUAAGGGAUGAAAUGGAGGAGGCAUCUGAAAACAGAACGUAAAUCCUUUCCUCAGAAUUGCACAGUUGGGAAUUAUAUCCCUUGUCUACAGAAUAUAGCACAGGUUAAAGUAAAGCAUGAUGGUUGCUCCCAUUUCUUGCCAAGGCAGAAUCUUUCAAAAUCUUUGGCAAGAGAAAUGUGGAUGUGACAUGCUGCUUUUUCUCGUGGAACAUUUUAAUGGCAGCGCUCAGUUUUCCCCAGGGGACCUUCCUUCCUCGGAGCAGGAACUUGUCGCUGCUUAGCUGAUUUAGAUGUGCCUUCUGCCAAAAUCAGCAAGGAAGGAAUGGAUGGGAUGGACAUUAGCAAUAGGGAAAUCUUGACAUGUCUGAAGAGAAUGCAUGCUCGGAGGAGGGGCUUCUUCUGUUUCCAAAAGCGAAGUUUUAUCUGCAAAACAAGCUUUGCUUUUCCUGCAGAUGUCUCAUCUCUGCCUCGCGGCAAUGCUGUGAUGAUGUUUCAUCUUGUGAGAAGCCAAGGGGAAGAGAACUUACUAUAGUGAAAACAUCUAUUCACAAGCUAUUUAAACUGAACUAAAACAAGCACUACAACCAGCUGGGACUGCAAUGAUUAAAGUCUCCGCAGUUAUUACAGGGUUUGGUUUUCUACUGAAACAACACAUGCUGCAGACUAAGAUGAAGGAAGGAAGUAUGCACUGGUACAAUAGCAGACAAAAAUACCACUCAUUACCCUUCUGCUGACUGGCCAUGAGUGGCUUCGGAUAGACACGUCUGUCUUCUAAGAUAAAUCAGCAAUGCAAAGCCCAAGUGUAUAUAAAAAAUGCCAUUUUUUUAACACACAAAGAUCAAUUUUAGAGCUGUGGAGGUGCUAAGCAGCAUGCGGAGCGCUUGUAUCUCUCAGAAAUUUAGCUGAACCAAGUACCUAGGAAGCCAUGAGCAGACUGAAAGCAGCAGUGAAGCUGCAGGGCAAGCUGUCAUCUUCUUCUCACUUGUCCCUGAAAUGCCCCGACCAAAAUGAACCAUAGAAGCGUCUUAGAAUCAUAGGAUGGUUUGGGUUGGAAGGUCAUCCAGUUCCAACCCCCUGUCAUGGGCUGGUUGCUACCACCACACUGGGCUGCCCAGGGCCCAUCCAACCUGGCCUGGAGCACCUCCAGCGAUGGGGCAUCCACAACUCUCUGGGCAGCAGUGUCAAGGCCUCACCACCCACUCAGCAAAAUAUUUUCCCAACAUCCAAUCUAGAUCUCCUCUUUUUUAGUUUAAAACCAUCCGCCUUGUCCUAUCUCUAUCUGCCCAUGCAUAAAGUUGAUUUCCUUCCUGCUUAGUAGCUCCCUUUAAGUACUGUAAGGCUGCAAGGAGAUCUCCCAGGAGCCUUCUCUUCUCCAAGCUGAACACACUCAGCUCCCUCAGCCUUUUUUUAUAGGAGAGGCCAGCCCAUGUCUUCCUGAGCCAGAACGGCCCCUCACACACAAAGAGGAAAACAUAGGAGGCUUUUAAAAGCUGAUGGCUGGGUUGAAAGACUUGAAUUGACAAGAAAAGAAUGGCUGUGAGGAGAUACUGUACUGAAUAAAUAUUAAUUAUUUUUGUAAACUCCAAUGGAUGCUAAUAGUGGUCUUGCAUUUGCAGUGUCGUCCGGAAGGCAGAACCCUCACACACAGCGUGUGGGAGUGCACAGAUGAACAGGAGUCUUCAUGCAUGAAAAUGGGCGUAUGUAUUUCAUGAACUAGAUUGUUCAGCAGAUUUUGCUUAACCUGCUUUGCACUAUGCCACCGAAAUGAGGACAACUGCAGACGUGUAUGUAAAGUGGCAAAUAUUAGCAAAAUUAAUUCCAAAGCAUGACCUCUUUCAAGGCACUUUACAAACAAAUAGUAAUAAUGGGGCCACAAUUUAGUGAUUUCUAAGCUAUCUACAUUGAGUUUUGAAAUGUAUCUGAAAAUGAGUGCCAUCAAAGAACACAACGGAAAUUGGGCUCUGCCUUCCCAAAUUCUUUUAAGAGUUUCCUGGAAAAAAAAAAAGAGUGCUGGGAUGGGCACAGCAGCAGGUGCAGGAGGACAAGGCAGACAGAGAGCAGUGUGUGUGCAUUAUCUGCUCCGGCAGCAGGGACCCAGUGUCACGUGUAUUGUGUCACCAAGCCACAGCCAGAGAGGAGGAGGGCAAGCCCUGCUUGUUAUAGCUGUUAAAGUCAGAACACCAUUUCUCAUAGUGAAAUCAUAGAAUGGCCUGGGUUGAAAAGGACUACAAUGAUUAUCUAGUUGCAACCCCCUGCUAUGUGCAGGGUCACCAACCACCAGACCAGGCUGCCCAGAGCCACAUCCAGCCUGGCCUUGAAUGCCUACAGGGAUGGGGCAUCCACAACCUCCUUGGGCAACCUGUUCCAGUGUGUCACCACCUGCUGUGUGCAAACUGCUUUUGGAGAUGAUUCAGCCAUCAUCUGCACGUUAAAUGUCUGAAAAGACCUUUCGUUACCGCAUCAAGCACUGCCAGAGGACCACAUCAAACUGCUACCAUGGAGUAACAGUGAGAUUCAAAGCUGUGGCACAGGCACUGUAGGACCGCCUGGCACUGAGCUGAAGGUGCAACUACUGUCUGCGUGCAUCACUGAAUUGGCCUGAGACCAAACUACACACUUAAUAUCCAACAGCCACCAAUGCCCAGUGACAUGUUAACCACGUCAAUAAACAAUUAGCUAAACAGGUGCUGGGUUCUCCUGGUUAAAAGAAAACCAGACCUUCAUUAAAUUCUAAGAUAAGGUUGGAAAAAGAAUUGUUUCUGUAAUCCCAUUAUCUGCUGCAUUAAUUUGGGAACUGGCUAAUUUCGAUCGCUUGAUUUGUUGGCUUAACUAAAAUUGGCAAUAAAAUCAUAUAAAAUACUGUGCAUUGCUUUUUUUUUUUAAUCAGUUUGGUGAAAUUAAAUGUAAAUUGGGCAAGCAAUGCGGUUUGGGAGGUUUACAUUUGCACACUCUCCCUUUGGAUGCAGUCCAUACCCAGGACAUAAGAUCUGUUUCAAUUCAUCGCAUUGAAACUCAGGUCGUGGGCUCAGAAGGCGGACAGCAGCUCUGGAGUGAAAUCCUGAGCCUCCUGUGUACACCUCCAGAGUGAGCACAUAGACUGCAGCAUGCCCGGAAUCAAAGGCCGGGAUAGUUUCCAUCUCACACUGCUGGG
rnacentral:lncRNA from 1 species